rnacentral:rRNA from 1 species
UACGAAGGGUGCAAACGUUGCUCGGAAUCAUUGGGCGUAAAGCGCACGUAGGCGGCUUCGCAAGUCGGAUGUGAAAUCCCAUGGCUCAACCAUGGACGUGCAUUCGAAACUGCGAAGCUUGAGUAUGGAAGAGGGUCGCGGAAUUCCCGGUGUAGAGGUGAAAUUCGUAGAUAUCGGGGGGAACACCAGUGGCGAAGGCGGCGACCUGGGCCAAUACUGACGCUGAGGUGCGAAAGCGUGGGGAGCAAACAGG